AGAGUUUGAUUCUGGCUCAGAACGAACGCUGGCAGCGUGGAUUAGGCAUGCAAGUCGGACGAGAACCAGUGGUUUCAAGUUUUCGGACGAGAAACUGCUGGGGACAGUGGCGGAAGGGUGAGUAACGCGUGGGCAAUCUGCCCUUAAGUUGGGGACAACGGUUGGAAACGACCGCUAAUACCGGAUGUGGUUAUCCGUCGCCUGACGGAUGGACUAAAGAUGGGGACCUUUCGGGGCCUGUCGCUUGAGGAGGAGCCCGCAUCCCAUCAGCUUGUUGGUAGGGUAAUGGCCUACCAAGGCUUACGGGUAGCUGGUCUGAGAGGAUGAUCAGCCACACUGGGACUGAGACACUGCCCAGACUCCUACGGGAGGCUGCAGUCGAGGAUCAUUGGCAAUGCGCGAAAGCGUGACCAUGCGACGCUGCGUGGAGGAUGACGGCCUUCGGGUUGUAAACUCCUGUCAUUCGGGAAAAACGAGCGGGCCGUUAAUACCGGUUCGCAGUGAUGGUACCGGAAGAGGAAGCCACGGCUAACUCUGUGCCAGCAGCCGCGGUAAUACAGAGGUGGCAAGCGUUGUUCGGAUUUACUGGGCGUAAAGCGUGCGUAGGCGGUUCCGUGUGUCGGAUGUGAAAGCCCAUGGCCCAACCAUGGAAGUGCAUUCGAAACUGCGGAACUAGAGUGCAGGAGGGGAGAGCGGAAUUCAUGGUGUAGCGGUGAAAUGCGUUGAUAUCAUGAAAACACCGGUGGCGAAGGCGGCUCUCUGGAAUGUUACUGACGCUGAGGCACGAAAGCUGGGGGAGCAAACAGGAUUAGAUACCCUGGUAGUCCCAGCCGUAAACGGUGUGAACUUGGUGUAGGGGGUGUUGACCCCCCCUGUGCCGGAGCUAACGCGUUAAGUUCACCGCCUGGGGAGUACGGCCGCAAGGCUAAAACUCAAAGAAAUUGACGGGGGCCCGCACAAGCGGAGGAGCAUGUGGCUUAAUUCGAUGCAACGCGAAGAACCUUACCAGGGCUUGACAUGGCGACCCUUCGGGGGUGGUAGCGAAAGCUGCCUUUACGAUCACAGGUGCUGCAUGGCUGUCAUCAGUUCGUGCCGUGAGGUGUUGGGUUAAGUCCCGCAACGAACGCAACCCUUGUGGUUAGUUGCCACCGUCGGUGAUGAGCCGGCGAGCACUCUAGCCAGACUGCCCGUGCAAGCGGGAGGAAGGUGGGGAUGACGUCAAGUCAGUAUGGCCCUUACGCCCUGGGCUGCACACGUGCUACAAUGGUCGGUACAGAAGGAUGCAAUACCGCGAGGUGGAGCAAAUCCUCAAAGCCGACCCCAGUCCGGAUUGGAGUCUGCAACUCGACUCCAUGAAGUUGGAUUCGCUAGUAAUGGCGCAUCAGCUACGGCGCCGUGAAUGCGUUCCCGGGCCUUGUACACACCGCCCGUCACAUCAUGAAAGCCGUCUGCACCCGAAGUCACUGAGCUAACCUUUUAUUAGGAGGCAGGUGCCGAAGGUGUGGGUGGUGAUUGGGAUGAAGUCGAAACAAGGUA
rnacentral:rRNA from 1 species